UAUGGCAUACCACCCUGAAUGCGCCUGAUCACGAAAGCUAAGCAGGGUUGGCCAGCUUAGUACUUGGAUGGAAGAAAUGCACUCUGCAAAUUGGCCAUAU
rnacentral:rRNA from 1 species